UGCAUUCACUACUGUAAUUCGCUCUGGAUAAGAGCGUCUGCUAAAUGACUCAAA
rfam:Salmo salar isolate Sally breed double haploid chromosome ssa22, whole genome shotgun sequence.